rnacentral:rRNA from 1 species
CCUACGGGGCGCAGCAGCGAGGAAUAUUGGUCAAUGGGCGGAAGCCUGAACCAGCCAAGUCGCGUGAGGGAAUAAGGCCCUACGGGUCGUAAACCUCUUUUGCCGGGGAGCAAGGGCGGGGACGUGUCCCGGCCCGGAGAGUACCCGGAGAAAAAGCAUCGGCUAACUCCGUGCCAGCAGCCGCGGUAAUACGGAGGAUGCGAGCGUUAUCCGGAAUUACUGGGUGUAAAGGGAGCGUAGACGGUGAAGUAAGUCUGGAGUGAAAGGCGGGGGCCCAAACCCCGGACUGCUCUGGAAACUAUUUG